AUCCUUUUUUGGUUCACAAGCAUGAUGAUUGGGUGUUCACGCCUCUGCAUGACAUGUGCCACCCUCAAAUCUUGUUAUGACGUGGGCACAUUACCCUUCUGAUG
ensembl:snoRNA